AGAGGUGUUACUUCCUAUUCCUCAUGAUCUAUAUCUUAGUAAUCCUUUAUUAGUUGCUUUGUUCCACUAGAAUAUUUUAUUUUUAGCCGAUCAUGAUUCUUUCAUUCUAUAUCAAAGAUUUGUCCCCUAUAUAAUCUAGAUCCUUUUGGGAAUUGUCAUGUAUCAUGUUGCUUAAUUUGCAAUCAAUCUGUAUCUUAGUACUUUUCUAUGCUCGGUUUACGUCCCAACACUUGAUGUUGGAGUUUGUCAUUUAAUAGUUGAUUUAUGCUCAAUCUCCUGCAUAGAGUUCAAAUAGUGCUCUUUGACACUUAAUC
rnacentral:lncRNA from 1 species